UUGCCUUGUAACAAACCACCACAACACUUGAUGGCAUAAAACAGCUCAUUGUAACCACCUCUCUUGACUCUUGAGCUUCAUGAACUUGAGUUCCUAAGAUUCAUGAACUGCCUCUUGUGAUUUCUGAGGUCAGCUAGCCAUUUGCCUGAGCCCGGUGUCUAGGACAGUCUUACCUCUCCGCACCUGGCUCAUGUCAGCUAGAACCAGUUGGGAUAUCUCAGCUAUGAGUCUCUCAUCACCAGGAGCCUAGAGAAAGAGUGGGCCCCAGGGUGGAAAAUUUUCAAACUUCUUAUUAGCUGCUAGUCCUUUGGCCAAAGCCAGUCACUUGGCCAACCCAGAGAGCCAGGCAGCAGAGCAAGAGACCCAGUUCAUCGACGGAGCAGAGUCCUGCAGAAGGAAAGAACUCAAGAGACAGGAUGGGGGCCCUUUGUGUAACCUGAUAUGAUUAGUUUUAACUGUCAAAUUGACUCAACUUGGAAUUACCUGGGAGAAUUUCAGUCGGGAAACUGUCUAGAUCAGGCUGGCCUGUGCAUAGCUAUAGGAGAUUGUCUUGAUUGUUAAUUGAUGUGAGAAGACCCAACCAUUUGUGGGCGCCAUCGUUCCCUAGUGAGCAAGCAGACAGUGUGGGCACAUUCGUGCCUCCCUGCUUGUAAUUGUGGUGAGAUUAGCUUCUCAAGUUCUUGCCUUAACUUCCCUGAAAUGAUAGACUGUGUGUGGCCCGCUAUUAUAAAUUCCUUUCUUCCCUAACUUACUUUUUAAAAGCAUUGUCCUGGUUAGGGGUUUUGCUACCUUGGUACAAGCUAGAGUAAUUUGGGAAGAUGGAAACUCAGUUGGAAAAUGCCCCCACCAAUUGGCCUUCGGAGAAGCUCAAGGGGGGCAUUUUCUUGAUUACUGAUUGUGUAGGAAGGCCCAGGCUACUGUGAGUGAUGCCACCCCUAGGCAGGGGGUUCUGGAUGUUAAAAGAAAGCAGGCUAGUGAGCUAUAAGGAACAAGCCAGUAAACAGCACCCCACUAUGGCCUCUGCUUCAGUUCCUGCCUCCCAGUUCCUGUCCCCGACUUUUCUGGAUAAUGAACUAUAAACUGUUAAAUGAAACAAACCCUUUCCUCACCGAGUUGCUUUUGAUCAAAGUGUUUUAAUCCAACAUUAGAAACCUAACUAAGACAGAUUAUCUAUCUAUAUAUCCAUCCAUCUAUCAGUCUGUUUUGUUUGGGGGGAGAGAAAGAGGAAGGCGGAGAAAGACUGACUUUCGGUCUGUCUGUCCCCCAGAAGACAACUUGAGGGAAUCAGUCCCCUCCCCUUCCUCCAUGUGGGACCUGGAAAUCAAAUUCAGGUCAUAAGACUUGGCAGCCUGUUGCUGUACCCAUUGGACUAUCCUGCCCCCCUCCCCUUCACCCCCUGCAGUUGUUUUUUGUCAGGACAGUUUUAUCACAUGGCCACAGAAAUAAGAGUAGGACACUUCCUGUUUUCCUUCCCUUCCCCUUCCAUGUCACUGUAGAUAUCUUGUUUUCUUGAUUCUUGAACACCUUCCUAAGGUCACAGGCAUGGCUUUGUGCUGUUCCCAUUGGUUUGGGACCCAGGGCAGGGGGUUCAGAGUCCUGUGCCUUGUUUUUUUUGUUUUUUUUGUUUUUUUUUUUUUCUUCCAUCUGUACCACGGAGGUCAGGGCACUUGUGCUGUAGGAACUUGGAAAGUCUGUGGUUGGAGGAAUCCAAGUGGCACACAGUAGGUCCGACCAGUGUAAGCUACAGUGCGUAGAAAAGCAAUCCACUCACGGACUGGGUCUGAGUAGAUGCCACCUCCUCUCAUCUUGGAAAGCCAAGUGGGAGGCCCUUGAAGGCUGAGGAUGGGGUGGGGGCAGUCAGGGGUUGGAGGGAUCAAGUACAUCCAUUCUGACAGGGUGUCAUGAUGUCAUUCUGGCCUUGGCAUUGAAAACUAACACCAGUGACAGCUCUGCUUCUUGCGGAAAGAGUAAGGGCCCGAGAAACAACUUGUCUUAGCUCCGUGACCAGAGGCGUCCAUCACAGUAAACGCAGGGGGAGCCAUGUUUUCACCUCCUGUCGGACAGGAGUGGGAGGAAGACCAAUUUCCAAAGUGGGUCCUGGCCGGUCAGAACCAGGGCCACUCAGAGGCCUCAUGUUUUCUUGUUCCACACUGGAGUCUGGGUGCAGUGCCCCUCCCCCACCUUUUUUCAGAAGCCAUAAGCCAAAGAAAUGUGUCUUUUUACAUUUUAUAAAACUCAGGGAAAAAAUGGCUUUAAACAGCUUUUACUCCCCUGCUAUAAUUAUUUAUUUUCAAACACUCCUGCAGGGGACUGCUCCGUCUUCUUAUCCCAGACUCCUUUUGCUCAUAAAUGAACCAUCACUUCAAUAAAUCAUUAUGAAAACAGAGACUAACACCGGCUCUGAGAGGUUGAAAGAUUUAUGUAACACAUUUAUGUCUCCCAUUUUCUCAUUCUGGUACUCCGCGGCAAAAGCUAAGCUAAUAAAAGCUGCUAUUAAUAUUUCUUGUUGCCUAGCAACCCGAGAGCGGGAGUAAUAGCUUGGGCUAGAAAAAUAGAUGACCGAUAAGGAAAAAUUCAAUUCUUUUAUUAUCUCAGGGGAAAUGCCCUUUUACUGGAACAUUAUGAUGUACGAGUGUGAAGUUGAACACAAAAGAUUUGUGUGUGAGUGUGUGUUUCUAUUUUUAAUGAACAUCAUUUUACCUCCCCUAACUCUUUCCGGGCACUUUUGUUUUCCUUUGCACCCCCCCCCCCACCAUCCCGUCCCUCAUGCUUAAUUUAGCUACUAGUGUAGUUAAGGAUCUGUCCGUGCUUCCUUUUUUUUAGUUUAAAAAUGGUUGCUGCAAAGGUUUACAACUCGGUCAUAAAAAUUCACUCCCCGUUAGGACGCAGAGCAGUGAUAAGCCAGCAUGCAGCUGGCGUUUCCACAAAUGGAUCACAUUGGUCGAGAGAUAAGAUUCAUGGAUUUUUUUUUCCCUCAAGAAGGAAGGUCAGAAUGGAAUAAAGUAUGUUUCUCCCCCGCCCCAUGUUUUCUUUGGAAUCCAGGGAUGCUGUCUCUUCAGAGAAUGGUUUGCCCUGAAGUUUGGGAGUGUGUUCAAGGAGGGCAAGGUUGGGACACAGUCAUUUAGUCAUUUAUUGAGCACCAGUUGCUGUAUAAAGUUUGGGCUCAUUGCCUCUACCCACUUGUCCCAUGUAGAAAGGGAGGCUUAGAAAGGUCGAGGGCUGAUCAACUGAUUAAAAUAGCAGUGUGUGCAGUGAGGUCCUCACCAUGGAAGCUUUCUCAAACGUGAGCGGAGCCCGCUGCUGAUUUGUUGGGCAGGACAGUUCUCAGCAGAAGAGGGCUGUCCUGUGUACUGCCUGAUGAGGGCAGUCCUGUGUACUGCCUGAUGAGGGUUGUCCUGUGUACUGCCUGAUGGCUGCGCUCUCAAUUUCUACCAUUUGGUACCCUCCACCCCC
rnacentral:lncRNA from 1 species